AUACCUUUCUCGGCCUUUUGGCUAAGAUCAAGUGUAGUAUCUGUUCUUAUCAGUUUAAUAUCUGAUACGUGGGCCAAUGGCUCACACGAUAUUAAAUUAAUUUUUAUUGGGGAAGGAUCCAAUGGGUCAGCUUGCUGAUCCGGGUCUUUAUGCGUCGUUCAUGCGUUGCACUAUUGCAUGCGCCUGGCGCACCCCAU
rnacentral:snRNA from 1 species